GGGAUGUUAGUAAAACAAUUACAUAGCCUUGUCAAGGCUAAAUUACAGGUGAAAUUCCUGUACAUCCCA
rnacentral:tRNA from 1 species